GUAGGUGGCAAGCGUUGUCCGGAAUUAUUGGGCGUAAAGCGCGCGCAGGCGGUUCUUUAAGUCUGAUGUGAAAGCCCACGGCUCAACCGUGGAGGGUCAUUGGAAACUGGAGAACUUGAGUACAGAAGAGGAAAGCGGAAUUCCACGUGUAGCGGUGAAAUGCGUAGAGAUGUGGAGGAACACCAGUGGCGAAGGCGGCUUUCUGGUCUGUAACUGACGCUGAGGCGCGAAAGCGUGGGGAGCAAACAGGAUUAGAUACCCUGGUAGUCCACGCCGUGAACGAUGAGUGCUAAGUGUUAGGGGGUUUUCCGCCCCUUAGUGCUGCAGCUAACGCAUUAAGCACUCCGCCUGGGAGUACGGCCGCAAGGCUG
rnacentral:rRNA from 1 species